AUGGCACACUACUUGGUGGGGUCACGGUCCUGGUCUUUGUUGGGCUGGUAGCUGUAAUUGUGAUACUGAAAAAGAGGUGUCUUCAAGCUAGGAGCCUACCGGAUCCACAGGAACCAUGACAGAGCCUUCUUACAAGAACUUCUGAAACUUCCGUGUUCUACUUCUCUGGGAAACCAAAGCCCAAGAAUGUGAAAGACUUUGAUACUACAAAAAAUUUUCCAGCCUGUGCUGUGGCCUGCAGGGCCUCAACAGUGAGCUAGUAAUUUAGAUCUUAUUGAAGAAUGGCACUUAAAUGUCUGUCUCAGUGACACCAAGGUUUUCUAUGUGUAUUAUCAAGCAAGGUUCUAAGCACUUUACUUUCAUUAAGCUGUUUAAUCCUCCUAACAUGCAUAUGUGGAAGAAUAAUCCUGUGCUGUGGGUGAAAAACCUGAGGUCCAGAGAGGGUGAGCCAUAGGCAGAGCUGUAAUGAGACCAGGCAGUCUGACUGCCAUCUGUGUGAUUCACCACUGCACCAAGUCUCAACGACAACUAUGCUGUUCUGUAAAUGUGCAGUUAAGUACAGGUCUCCAAUCCUUUACCUGCAAUUCUAAAAUGCAAAAACAUCCAAAAGCCAAGGGUUUUUUCCUAAUUUGGGCAUCAAACCUGACCCAAACUGAAGUGAGAUCAUUUAUACCCUUAAUUUCUUCUAGUGUGCCUUUUUGCAAUUCUCUACUGAAAUGUUAAUAUAUUCAACAUCUGCCAGAUAGAAUCCUUUCUAAUAUGCAAGGAAUUAUAAAUACAUCUGACCCAAAGGUUUCAAGUAAGGGAUUAUGGACCUGUAUUAAUAAAGUUUUACAGUAAUAAACAUGUUUUAUUUUCACUGAUAAAAACAGAGUUCUCUGGCUGGAUGGUUGGAGUGGAGUCUAGCUAAAAGGCGAGUCUGGGCAUGAGUGCCUAGGUACACCCAACCCUUCUUCCCUGAGUAGAAGAGGUGGCAGAAGCAGGUUGGAGGAAGCUGCUGGCUGUCCAGUCUUAUUUCACAUUGAUACAGCUGUUUCACCUUUCUGUGCCUCUCUCCCAAGACUUCAGACUCCUCUGGAUCCCCAGACCUACAGCUGAUUUAAUCUACCCCAAAACCCUACCCCCUCGAAGUUAGAUCCUUUAUGGGUAAGGAUAGGACUUAGGCUGGCAUCUUGCAUGGCUUCUUUCAGGACAGGGGGUUUAUAGAAGGUCAGGGAGCUUUUAGACUGAGGUGGACCUGUCCCCCUAGGAUUGGUUUACAUAAGUGAGAGCCCUGGGAAUAAGGACAUGGAAGUUCCUAUCUAGAUCUGUACUUUUCCAUGUCCAGGACCCUAAAUGCCUCUAGUGCUGAGGGCUUAUAGGACCAUCUCUUCCAAUGUGGAAAAAGGGCAGAGAGGCCAUGGGCUGUACAGAGGACAGCAGCAGACCUCAGGCUGCGUACCACUGUAAGGAUAAGGUCACUUCAGUCUUCUUAAUGGCCUUAUUGGCUACUUAUUUUAAAAGCUGCCUGAACACAUCUACAACUAUCCUUGAUAUCUAUCAGCAACCCUUGCUUUGGUACCUCACUGCCUUUUUAUGCUGGCUUUCCCCACCUUGGUGGUCAGUGCAGGCCCCUCAGCUCACAUGGCCUUCUCACCUAGGCAUGACACCUGCAUGGAAGCCACAGGACCUUAAGGGCAGGGGGAUGGUGGACAGAAGAGCUCUGACUAGAAGGAGAGCAGAUAGCCGCUGUAGUAGCCUCCUGGCAUAAAGGACUUUCUUCCACUUAAUCUUCAGUCUUAUCCUCCCACUUCUGGAGCAUCCCUCAUCCUAACUUCUUGUUCUCAAGAGUCCCCCAAGGCAUCCCAGACAACAUCUGCCAGACAGAAUCCACCAUUCCUCUUGCUGAGGGAAAUGCUGUCCUGAGCUUCAGGCAGUGUCUACUACUUAACUGGAUUAUGAGACCCUUGGCAACUG